rnacentral:rRNA from 1 species
UACGUAGGGGGCAAGCGUUGUCCGGAUUUAUUGGGCGUAAAGAGCGUGUAGGCGGCUUUACAGGUCCGUUGUGAAAACUCGAGGCUCAACCUCGAGACGUCGGUGGAAACCGUAUGGCUAGAGUCCGGAAGAGGAGAGUGGAAUUCCUGGUGUAGCGGUGAAAUGCGCAGAUAUCAGGAAGAACACCCGUGGCGAAGGCGGCUCUCUGGGACGGUACUGACGCUGAGACGCGAAAGCGUGGGGAGCGAACAGG